GAAUAAAACAUAACCAUGAAUGGGCUUUCGAUAAUUAUGCAGGACCACGCUCUGUAAAGUUGACUUGCAUCCAACAUAUGCCAUAAUUAGCAUUCCAGUCCCAGUCAAUGAUCCGAAUUUGCUUCAGAAACCAGAUUGAACCAUGCAGAAAUCCCUCCCUGCUUAUCCUCCUGAUCCCCUUGAUGAUGGGCAUUAACCAAAAAGGCUGUGACAUUUUACCUGUGUUCAGCACACUACUUCAAAUGGAGCAAGACACCUAUUCUGACACUUUCUCUGCUGCUUUUAAAACACACCACCCAUUACUGGGACUUGUAUCCGCUCCCAUCCAAUUUGGCUGAUGGGUUUACUUUUGGAUGGAGUUCAACAAGCCGAGAUCAUUCUGCUGACAGCGGUGAAACAAUUAAUACCCUGCAAAGUUCUGGAGCCAGCAGCAGCGCCAACUCAUGGACCACGGCUGUGAUUCCACCUCCUCGGGAAAUACAGCCCACUUGUAAACCUGUGCCAUCGCUCUGCCCUUUAUGGAUUGAUCUUUCAAUAGUAUUUUUACCGUCCUUCACUGAUACCUUCUUUAAACUGUGUGUGUGUGUGUCUCUAGCAUGUGUAUGAUAAGUGGCUGUGACAGAAUCCUCCCCGUCAGGCAUCUAUCUCCAGGGUGAUAGACAGCCUUGUUCUCUCAUUCUCACAUGAUCGAAUUAAGCCAGCACAUGUUCUUAGUGCUGCUGGAUCUCUUCUAAACCUAUUUCCUCUGAUCUUAACUCUGCCACAAUCACCUCCAUCUGCCUCAAGUGCUUUUUAACCUGACACCAAAUUCAGGUGAUGACACUUGAAAGACAAUCAUCUGUGAAAUGGUCUAUACAGAGAAAAAGAUCAUCACAAAACCUGAAGACAAUUAAAAACAUGUCAUUUCUUUAUGUUACCAAAAACAUUAUUUUUCCAGAUUUUCUUCAAACAUUAGGAGGUGUUAAUGCCAAGGUUGCAGCAACACAAGCUGGAGCCUUUGAAUCCUUGUUUAUGGGUCGACUCCAUUAACCUUUACCCCAAGCUGUGGGCCAAUCUGGAGGCUUCUGUUACAAACCGUGCAGCAGAGGUUGCUGGGAGCGGCUGUACAUGGAAACAGACAUAUGGGCGGUUGUUUAACUACCUGAAAGACAAAAAGCACAAAGCACCUCCAUCAGCUGAGAUCAGAGAAGAGGAUUGUUGAGUUGUUGAAAUAAAUCUAUUGGCACUGCACUGCCAAAAUCUUUUGAAAGAGCUGGAUGUAAUAAAACAUCUCUUUGACAUUCUAGAUGGGAUUCUUGUAUCCUACUCACAUCUGUAAGUGUAGUCGUUCAUGCUAACCCAUUUGCUGUGUUUUUGUUUUACUACUAGCUCAUGAAGUACAACUAGCAUUAGCUCAUCCUAAUAUACCUACUACUGUACAUACAAUUUUAUUUUCCAAAUGAUAUACGGUCUAUUCUGGAUUCUCAAACAUGCUCACUCUAAUAUAUCUACUUUGGAAUGUUAUUUCUUGAUUUCUUGUUUAAAUUUUUUUGUGAUUAUUGUGUAUUUGUAUUGUAUUUGUGAGACAUUCUACUGCACUGUUGGAGCUGGUAACACAAGCAUGUUGCUACACCUGCUAUAACAACAUCUGUGUAAUCUAUAAACUUUGAUUUGAUUUAGCGAUUUCUCUUGUUUUUGUGUUUACAUGAAAAGCCUGUAUUUCUUCCGGUCUCUGCGCUUUGUCCUAUAAAGACAUGGGAAAGAUAAGAGGUGGGCAUCUGUGUGUGGCAGAGAAUGCCUUACCAUCUGUCUCUGCCGGCGGGGUCUCCAUGGACACAAGCUCGCACGGGUAGAACAUGGGCAGGCUGCUAAUCUCAAGUGUGUAAGCACAUAUCUCAGUUCACAACAGCUGAACUACAAUGUACUACUGUAUUGUUUUAUGUAUGAUUUAGACUGUUGUCUUGUUGUGAGGUGUUUAGUUCCUGUUUGAAUCCCAGGAAGAGUAGCGCGGCUGCUUUGGCAGCCCCUAAUGGGGAUCCUAAUACAAUGCUGAAUACUAAUACAAUGAAGCAUAUUUUCCUAUUUUGUUAUUGACAAUGCAGUGGCCAUGUUUACGUUCUAAACAUGUCAAAAGUGCCUGCCUUAAACAUGGCCAUGCAUUAUGCUGCCACUGCCACCAUAUCUACAGCUUCAUACCUACAUUUACAUUCUAUUUAUUUAGCAGACGCUCUCAUCCAGUGCGACUUAGAGUUAGUGAAUUCAUCUUAAAAUAGCUAGGUGAUACAACCACAUAUCUCAGUCAUAGUAAGUAAAUGUUUCCUCAUUAAGGAGGUCAUUAGCAAAGUCAGAGCUUGUAGGACAAGUCGCAGUGCAGUCAAAAAACUGAUUAUCCUAUGUUUUAUAUAGAGUGCCUUCAGAAAGUAUUUACACCAGAAAGUAUUUACCACAUUUUAUUGUGUUACAAAGUUAAUUGACAUGGAUUUUAUUGUCAUUUUUUUGUUAACCAUUUAACUCAAAAUACUCUGUAAUAUCAAAGUAUAUAUUUUUUCAUAUUUAUGGAAAGUAAAACACUCAUAUUUUUAUUAGAUAAGCAUUCAGCCCCCUGAGUCAAUACAUGUUCGAAUCACCUUUGGCAGUGAUUACAGCUGUCUUUGUGAAGAAGUUUCUAAGAUGAGCUUUAAUAUUGCAGAUAGAUUGCGGCUUCUAUCAAUGUAAUGAUCUGCAUAAUUUCCAUUCCCCCAUAUAUUUUUAAAUGUUUUCCUUAUUUAUUAUUUUCCCCUAACCCUACCAUCCCUCCUCUAUUUGGAGUAAACUAAUAGACAACAAUAUUUAGGAUUCUACCUCCCGCUUAUACAUACUUCAUACAUUUUACAUUAGUUAUUUUGUCCCACCCUUCAGCUCCCCUCAACCCCUCCCAUCUAUCUCUGAACACCAUCCAGUUUUGAUUUCUAUUUGCCAUAUAUUUUAUAACUGUGCUGUGAUGGGUCACAAAAGUUCUGAACCUUUCUAUUCUCAUAGUUUCUACAGAUUGUAAUUUAAACAUAAUAUUCUUUGCUAAGUGUAUUAUAUUAUUGAUCGAUUGACUUUGACUUUUCAAGUCACCCAGCAGUGUUAUUUGCAGAGUUAACUCCAGGUAAAUGUUGCAAUUCUUGAGCCAUUCCUGAACCUGUGACCAAAACAAGUAAAACAAUGAUUCUGCAGAGCUGGGAUGGGAUGGUUGUAACUCCAUAUAUACAGUGGGGAGAACAAGUAUUUGAUACACUGCCGAUUUUGCAGAUUUUCCUACUUACAAAGCAUGUAGAGGUCUGUAAUUUUUAUCAUAGGUACACUUCAACUGUGAGAGACGGAAUCUAAAAAAAUCCAGAAAAUCACAUUGUAUGAUUUUUAAGUAAUUAUUUUGCAUUUUAUUACAUGACAUAAGUAUUUGAUACAUCAGAAAAGCAGAACUUAAUAUUUGGUACAGAAACCUUUGUUUGCAAUUACAGAGAUCAUACGUUUCCUGUAGUUCUUGACCAGGUUUGCACACACUGCAGCAGGGAUUUUGGCCCACUCCUCCAUACAGACCUUCUCCAGAUCCUUCAGGUUUCGGGGCUGUCGCUGGGCAAUACGGACUUUCAGCUCCCUUCAAAGAUUAUCUAUUGGGUUCAGGUCUGGAGACUGGCUAGGUCACUCCAGGACCUUGAGAUGCUUCUUAUGGAGCCACUCCUUAGUUGCCCUGGCUGUGUGUUUCGGGUCGUUGUCAUGCUGGAAGACCCAGCCACGACCCAUCUUCAAUGCUCUUACUGAGUGAAGGAGGUUGUUGGCCAAGAUUUCGCGAUACAUGGCCCCAUCCAUCCUCCCCUCAAUACGGUGCAGUCGUCCUGUCCCCUUUGCAGAAAAGCAUCCCCAAAGAAUGAUGUUUCCACCUCCAUGCUUCACGGUUGGGAUGGUGUUCUUGGGGUUGUACUCCUCCUUCUUCUUCCUCCAAACACGGCGAGUGGAGUUUAGACCAAAAAGCUCUAUUUGUUUCUCAUCAGACCACAUGACCUUCUCCCAUUCCUCCUCUGGAUCAUCCAGAUGGUCAUUGGCAAACUUCAGACGGGCCUGGACAUGCGCUGGCUUGAGCAGGGGGACCUUGCGUGCGCUGCAGGAUUUUAAUCCAUGACGGUGUAGUGUGUUACUAAUGGUUUUCUUUGAGACUGUGGUCCCAGCUCUCUUCAGGUCAUUGACCAGGUCCUGCCGUGUAGUUCUGGGCUGAUCCCUCACCUUCCUCAUGAUCAUUGAUGCCCCACGGGGUGAGAUCUUGCAUGGAGCCCCAGACCGAGGGAGAUUGACCGUCAUCUUGAACUUCUUCCAUUUUCUAAUAAUUGUGCCAACAGUUGUUGCCUUCUCACCAAGCUGCUGGUUGCCUAUUGUCCUGUAGCCCACUCCAGCCUUGUACAGGUCUACAAUUUUAACCCUGAUGUCCUUACACAGCUCUCUGGUCUUGGCCAUUGUGGAGAGGUUGGAGUCUGUUUGAUUGAGUGUGUGGACAGGUGUCUUUUAUACAGGUAAUGAGUUCAAACAGGUGCAGUUAAUACAGGUAAUGAGUGGAGAACAGGAGGGCUUCUUAAAGAAAAACGAACACGUCUGUGAGAGCCGGAAUUCUUACUGGUUGGUAGGUGAUCAAAUACUUAUGUCCUGUAAUAAAAUGCUAAUUAAUUACUUAAAAAUCAUACAAUGUGAUUUUCUGGAUUUUUGUUUUGGAUUCCGUCUCUCACAGUUGAAGUGUACCUAUGAUAAAAAUUAUAGACCUGCUUUGUAAGUAGGAAAACCUGCAAAAUCGACAGUGUAUCAAAUACUUGUUCUCCCCACUGUAUAUAUAUAUAUAUAUAUAUAUAACAUUCUAUUGGUUGCAAUAAUUUUAUAUAAUUAUUUAAAUUGAACAACUCUAAGUCAUGAAUCUUGCUUCGUUUUGUGUAUCAGUUCAUAAAUCUCUUAUCAACUAUUUUCUCAACUAACCUGUUUAGCACAGCUGUCAAUUUUUUGGUUCUUAAAUUAAACUGGUAUAGUUUUUUAUUCAUCACAAUUUUCUUUAACCAGUUUGGGUCUUUAAUGCAGGACCAACAGACAAGUUCCUUACCUUCUUCCCCUUCCACUUGCCUCUUCCAUUUUUGCGGAAAUGCAAUUAAUUGGUUGUAAUUUUGGAUAGGGGAGACCAUAUAUUUGUGUUAGCUGCAUGUGUGACAUAACUCCACCAUUCCUGUUCAUGAUAUUAUUUGCAAAGAUUAUAAAUGUUCUCCAAAAAUAAUGUUGCUUUAUCAAUUAGUAUAUUUAAGUUUAAACAGAAUAUUUUUUCUAAAAUUUGUUCUUUAUUUUCUGGUGGAUAAAACUGAAAUUGCAACAAACUUUCUACGGCUUGGUUUAAAAAUAGCAAUUUUUGGAGAUUAUUUCAUUUUCAAAUAACCGAAAGUAAGAGGUUGGUAAUCUGAAUAAUGGGAAAAAGGCUAUUAUUGAACAUGGGGUGGGCCAUUCUUACUCAUCUGCUAGAGAACCAGUUUGGAUUUAAGUAUAGCUUUUGUAUGACUGCAGCCUUUAGUGAGAGGUCUAAUGCUUUAUUAUUUAAUAAUUUCUGCCCUUUGAAUUCAUAUUCAUUACAUAAACAGGAUCAUAAAAAAAUGUCUGGCUUGCCAUUCCAAAUAAAGUUGAAUAUUUUUUGUUCAUAUAAUUAAAAAAUCAAGUAAUUAGGUAUAGGCAGGGCCAUAACGGCAAAUAGUUAAUCAGGGUGAUUUUUCCACAAAUAGACAGGUAUUUUCCUUUCCAUGGUAGCAGGAUCUAUUUUUGCUAACUUUCUGUUAAAAGGUAUUGUAGUGAGAUGAUUUCUUUCUUUCAGGAUAUGAAUACCUAGUAUGUCCACUUCACCAUCAGACCAUUAUAUUGGUAAACUACACAGUAAUGUAAAAGUAGUAUUUUUUAGGUAUAUAUAUUUAUGUAUUUCAUUUUCAAUAAAUAUGCAAAAAUGUAUAAAAACAUGUUUUCACUUUGUUAAAAGGGGUUUUGUGUGUAUUGGCUGAGAAUUAUUUUAAAUGUAAUCAAUUUUGAAUUCUGACUGUAACACAACUAAAUGUGGAAUAAGUCAAGGGGUAUGAAUACUUUCUGAAGGCAUUGUUUAUGUCUACAUUAUGAGGUUGGAAUAAUAUUGUGAAAAUUAUGAUAAUGCCCUAUUAGUGUAAAAGCUGUUUGAAAAUUCCCAAUCUGGCCCUCAAACCAUCAUGGUCACCUAAUAAUCCCCAGUUUACAAUUGGCUCAUUCAUCCCCCUCCUCUCCCCUGUAACUAUUCCCCAGGUCGUUGCUGCAAAUGAGAACGUGUUCUCAGUCAACUUACCUGGUAAAAUAACGGUAAAAUAAAAAUAAAAUAAAAAGUAAAAUAAAAAAAAGACAUCCUGAUAUUUCUGUCUGUUUUGGUGGGAGGGAGUUUUGGCCUUCCAUGGUGACAUCACCAUGCGGUAGAUUAGUUAAUAGACCAAUAAGAAAGAGUUCCAAACAUCUCUGCCAAUAACAGCAAAUGUUCUGCUUUCCCCUCCCUACUCAAACCAUUCCCACAUACUCCUAGCAAAAUUCUUGCUUGAGAAAAUGCUCUUUGCUAAGAACCGUUUAUUUUUUAUUUUUGACCCUUUAAAUUGAAAACAAUCACAUUAAGGUAUUUAAUUGUUACCCAGAAAUUAUUAAAUGUUUUGAUAAAAACUGCUGCAUUGGACCUUAAAGAUACUCUUUGAAGAGUUAGGGUUUCAGUUUUCAGAAGAUGGGCAGGGACUCUGCUGUCCUAGCAUCAGAGGAAAGCUGCUUCCACCAUUGGGGGCCCACUGCAGCUGUUCCACUCACUGGAGCUCCACAAUGAACUAGUUAAAAGGACAGGGGAUAUAUAUUUGUGAGAAAGAGGUAUUUACAUAAUGUGACAUGAUACAGAUCUAUAAAACCCAAUGGAUCAAUUAGGUCCAAUUACAGGAUGCUAGAGUUUCUUAUCCCCUCCAGUUUAACUUUGAGCAGCCUGUGGUCCUCCACUUUAAUUCCAAUGAAAAUGCAUACUCCAAGCAAAACAUUCUCAAAGGCACACUAAUUACAAUGUUGUUGAUGAUAAAUAAAUAUGAAUAUGUGUUGGGUAUUGUUGUUUUAUCAGAAUAAUCAUUGUUGGUUUGAUCCAAAUCUGUUUGGGAUUGUUGUUUCAUUUCAUAUUUAAUUUUGCCGAAUUUGAGAAGCGUUUUUCAUGCAACGUUAAUUAACCUCCUUUACAUCUUUGUUAAAUGAACUGAAGGCAGAAACAGAUAAAAAAAAACGGAAAGGCCAGAGUUGUAUUUUUGUUUCCCCUCUCGUGCAGUUUUUUGGGGCCUUUGGGAGCUGGCUGAGCUAGGAGGCUGCACCUUUGUUGAAGUGCAUUCACCUGUGAUAGAUAAGAAGAGCCAUCCAAGGUUAGUGCCGGAAGGGAUUGGAGAAAACAGCCUAUUUUACACUGUUUUUGUGGAAAAGCCUAUGUAGGACAAACAAAAAGACAAAACAAUGCAUAGCUGAACACCGCAGCUCAAUCAGGUGUAAGAACACUGACUAUCCAGUAGCAGCUCAUGUUGUUGAAGCUAACCAUCCAAUCUCCUCCCUCAAAUACACAGGCAUUGAGCACGUUGCUCUACCAAGGAGAGGAGGUAACAUCGAGAUCCUACUACUACAAAGGAGGCUUACUGGAUAUCCUGUCUAAAAACAUUGGUCUGAAUAUUGACUUCUGAAUACUGAUCUCAGGCCCUUAUGAACAAUUCCUUCUUUUUUGAACAAGUCUUAUAAAUUGAUAUAUUCUUUCUACAGCUUAUUAGCAUACACCUAAUAUGUUCCCUCUGUUGAUGAUGCUUUUUAUGCAUCAAGGUUUAACCAAAUAUUACAUUAAAUAAGAAAACAAUUAAAUAUGUGAAAUUGAAUUAAACAAUAAUGUAUGUUGAUGCUAAUAUUAUGUACAAUAUUAAAUGAUGUUUCCAUAUGAUAACAAUAGCCUAAUAUAUUUCAUAUGCCAUAAACUAUAGUUUUUUUCAGUAUCAGUUUCACUAAUUAAAUCUAAUUAACUUAAUCAUUAUGACACAUCCCUCACUAUUGUCAUUGGUUGCACUAAUUAAAUCUAAUUAACUUAAUCAUUAUGACACAUCCCUCACUAUUGUCAUUGGUUGCACUAAUUGCACUGUUUGUAUACAUAACCUGGUUCAUGUAUUCAUGACAUUACCCUGAAGAAGGCACAGUGAUGUUGAAAUGUUGGUGAUUUACCCAAUAAAUGACUGGGAGUUUA